AUAUUUGAGAGUUUGAUCCUAGCUCAGGGUGAACGCUGGAAAUGUGGAUACCGGCAUGCAAGUCAAGGGGCAACGCAUCACUUUGCGAGUGAUGCGACGGUUGACAAUUAACAUUUAACAAUUGACGACGAGUUUUUUAAAAAGCUCAAUAAAGUCAAAUGUCACAUGUCAAAGGUCAAAUGUUGCGCAUCGCGCGCAGCGUGAUGCGUUGCACCGGCGAACGGCUUAGUAACACGUAGAUACAUACCCAAAAGUGGGGCAUAGCUCGUCGAAAGACGGGGUAAUUUCCCAUAGUCCUGCAAAGGUAAAGGCGCAAGCCGCUUUUGGAAUGGUCUGCGGUCUAUCAGCUAGUUGGUGAGGUAAUGGCUCACCAAGGCUAUGACGGAUAGGGGGCGUGAGAGCGCGAC
rnacentral:ncRNA from 1 species